AGCGAACGCUAGCGGCGGGCUUAACACAUGCAAGUCGAGCGCUUCACUUCGGUGAAGAGCGGCGGACGGGUGAGUAACACGUAGGUUACCUGCCCCCGGGUGAGGGACAACCGAGGGAAACCUCGGCUAAUACCACAUAUGGUCUACGGAUCAAAGGCUUCGGCCGCCCGGGGAUGGGCCUGCGUCCCAUUAUUUAAUCCUAGUUGGCGGGGUAACGGCCCACCAAGGGUACGAUGGGUAGCUGGUCUGAGAGGAUGAUCAGCCACACUGGAACUGAGACACGGUCCAGACUCCUACGGGAGGCAGCAGUGGGGAAUAUUGCGCAAUGGGCGAAAGCCUGACGCAGCCACGCCGCGUGAGUGAUGAAGGCCCCAGGGUCGUAAAGCUCGUGGUACGGGGGGAAGAAGUUCUGACCGGUACCCCCAAGAAGCACCGGCUAACUCCGUGCCAGCAGCCGCGGUAAUGU
rnacentral:rRNA from 1 species